rnacentral:rRNA from 1 species
CCUACGGGAGGCAGCAGUGGGGAAUUUUGGACAAUGGGCGAAAGCCUGAUCCAGCAAUGCCGCGUGAGUGAAGAAGGCCUUCGGGUUGUAAAGCUCUUUUGUCAGGGAAGAAACGGUGAGAGCUAAUAUCUCUUGCUAAUGACGGUACCUGAAGAAUAAGCACCGGCUAACUACGUGCCAGCAGCCGCGGUAAUACGUAGGGUGCAAGCGUUAAUCGGAAUUACUGGGCGUAAAGCGUGCGCAGGCGGUUUUGUAAGUCUGAUGUGAAAUCCCCGGGCUCAACCUGGGAAUUGCAUUGGAGACUGCAAGGCUAGAAUCUGGCAGAGGGGGGUAGAAUUCCACGUGUAGCAGUGAAAUGCGUAGAUAUGUGGAGGAACACCGAUGGCGAAGGCAGCCCCCUGGGUCAAGAUUGACGCUCAUGCACGAAAGCGUGGGGAGCAAACAGGAUUAGAUACCCUGGUAGUCCACGCCCUAAACGAUGUCUACUAGUUGUCGGGUCUUAAUUGACUUGGUAACGCAGCUAACGCGUGAAGUAGACCGCCUGGGGAUACGGUCGCGAAGNUUAAAACGUCAAAGUAGUAGUAGCGAGAGAGAGCGACGACGACGACGAGGAGGAGGAG